UACAGAGGGGGCAAGCGUUGUUCGGAAUUACUGGGCGUAAAGGGCGCGUAGGCGGCCUUCUAAGUCGAACGUGAAAUCCCCGGGCUCAACCCGGGAACUGCGUCCGAUACUGGAAGGCUUGAAUCCGGGAGAGGGAUGCGGAAUUCCAGGUGUAGCGGUGAAAUGCGUAGAUAUCGUGAGGAACACCAGAGGCGAAGGCGACUUCCUGGACAAUUGCUGACGCUCAGGCACGAAAGCGUGGGGAGCCAAAGGG
rnacentral:rRNA from 1 species